rnacentral:sRNA from 1 species
AUGUAACGCGGACACUGCGGUUCCGAGCACGCCGUCCGCGCCCACCUGACGACUGCUCGCUACGUUUUGUUAGCC